UGAGAAGUGACUUGCCCAAGGUUGUGUAACUCUUGGUGGAAGCAGGCCUGACAACAGCUUAGUUGCCUCUGAGAUAAGACUAGGACCUGAGCCCCUCCCUGCCUCUCAAGGGUUAAGUGAGGCGGACAGAGAUGCCUGAAGUGUUAUUGUGGGCUGUAAGAAUCACUAAAUACUUUGGGUUUUCCAGGAGCGAAAAAAAAAAAAGUGAUUAUUUCUAUAUCCAAGGUAAUGACCUCUAAUUGUUUCCCCUACCCCUUUAGUAGGAAGCUAAUGGCACCGGCACUUUGCUCAGGGAUAUAAGGUUCAGCCAGCAGGAGGGGUCUGCAGCAUCAUUUCACUCAGGUCUGUGAGUCUCCAAGGCCAUCAUCAUCACAUUCAAAACAAAGUCUACAUCUUCGCUGACAGAGAAACCCACAGAUGAAACAGCUACAGAAUCCCCGGACUUACACUUCAGCACAAUAUUCCCAACAUGAGGGUCGGAUUACAGCCAAAGGUCUUGGGCCAUCUUCUAUUGCCUUCCCAGGCACAUCAGGAGUGGACUAGAUGUGGAACAGCCUGGCCAGGACUUGGUCAAGAACUCCAAUAUGGGAUGCUGACAUUGCACUGCUAUGACACUGACCCCUGCUUAAGAGAUGUCACACAUGGUAGCAUCCUAACUUGAUAAGGUAACUCUUGGUGUCCUUCAACUAUUUAUCAAAAAGUCGAUGGGCACAUACAAA